GGGGGUGUAGCUCAGUGGUAGAGUGUAUGCUUAGCAUGCACGAGGUGCCAGGUUCAAAUCCUGGCACUUCCA
rnacentral:tRNA from 1 species